rnacentral:misc_RNA from 1 species
AUUAAAUAUUUGUACAAGUAUAAUGUUUUCCAAAUCGCAUUUAUUGUUCUAGCGGGUUUGACUUUUGUGUAUUAUGCUGCCUUCGGAUGGAGAAGAAAAAAGCCAAGUGGCAGAUUCCAGCUUUCCUCCUAAGGCAUGUUUUAGACCAAAAGUGCAUGCACCCAGUUGGAGUCCUCAGAGUUUGUAUCAUCCCUUGGGGAGUGUUGUUUCAUAUCGGGAUGCAUGUCUAUGGCCCAGUUUUGUUUAUGUUGAAAGGUUUAGAGAGGUAGGCCAAGAUAAUCCGAGUAAAAUUGGGCGGCUGUGGUGGGAGUGGCAUGGUGAGUGCUGCUGCUUUUUCUGAUUGUUUCCCCCCUUUUGUAUGUAUUAUUCUUUGUUUGGAUAAUAUUAUACACUGACUUGGGCAUGAACGAGUUAUCUUUAGCAAACACGAGAGAUGGAUUUGUAUAACUUCUCUGGAUGUAAUAUAAAGAUUGAGAGCAAAAGGAUCUUAUAGUUUCCAUCAUCAUGGGUAGGCUUUGUUAUGUGUCAUUCGUUUUGUUUCAUUGAUGUAUUUGAAGCUUCAUCUGCAAAGAAGAUUUAUGGUUGGGUUAAGAAAUUU